UCCAUAUGAAGAUGAUAUCUAUCAUCACCUAACAGUUCACUGAGAGCCAUCACAAUCGCCUAUGAAUGCGUGUCUGUCAAAUAGUGCCGAAAGGAAGCAAGAAGGAGGAGUCCAUUCAUAUCCGAAUACUUUCCAUUUCUUCUUUCACCGCUCAUCUUCUAUUUUCUGCAUAGAAAAAGUCUGAACUAAAGGAAGCACCAGC
ensembl:ncRNA C06H2.10 ncRNA